CCUACGGGUGGCAGCAGUGGGGAAUAUUGCGCAAUGGGCGAAAGCCUGACGCAGCGACGCCGCGUGAGGGAUGAAGGUCUUCGGAUCGUAAACCUCUGUCAGCAGGGAAGCACGGUCACUGUGCUAAUCAGCAGUGAAUUGACGGUACCUGCAAAGGAAGCACCGGCUAACUCCGUGCCCGCAGCCGCGGUAAUACGGAGGGGGCGAGCGGUAAUCGGAAUUACUGGGCGUAAAGCGCUCGUAGGCGGUAUGUCAAGUCAAGGGUGAAAUCCCCGCGCUCAACGUGGGAACUGCCUUUGAAACUGGCAAACUGGAGUGUGUGAGAGGAUAGUGGAAUGCCAGGUGUAGGAGUGAAAUCCGUAGAUAUCUGGAGGAACAUCAGUGGCGAAGGCGACUAUCUGGCACAUAACUGACGCUGAGGAGCGAAAGCGUGGGUAGCAAACAGGAUUAGAUACCCUAGUAGUC
rnacentral:rRNA from 1 species